GCUGGGUGUGGUGGCGCACACCUGUAAUCCAAGUGACUCAGGAGGUUGAGAAAGGAGGAUCACAAGUUCAAAGCCAGCCUCAGCAACUUAGCGAGACCUUGUAUCAA
rnacentral:sRNA from 1 species